GACGAACGCUGGCGGCGUGCUUAACACAUGCAAGUCGAACGGUAAGGCCCUUUCGGGGGUACACGAGUGGCGAACGGGUGAGUAACACGUGGGUGAUCUGCCCUGCACUUUGGGAUAAGCCUGGGAAACUGGGUCUAAUACCGGAUAGGACUACGCGAUGCAUGUCGUGUGGUGGAAAGCUUUUGCGGUGUGGGAUGGGCCCGCGGCCUAUCAGCUUGUUGGUGGGGUGAUGGCCUACCAAGGCGACGACGGGUAGCCGGCCUGAGAGGGUGUCCGGCCACACUGGGACUGAGAUACGGCCCAGACUCCUACGGGAGGCAGCAGUGGGGAAUAUUGCACAAUGGGCGCAAGCCUGAUGCAGCGACGCCGCGUGGGGGAUGACGGCCUACGGGUUGUAAACCCCUUUCAGCACAGACGAAGCGUAAGUGACGGUAUGUGCAGAAGAAGCACCGGCCAACUACGUG
rnacentral:rRNA from 1 species